CUACGGGGGGCAGCAGUGGGGAAUUUUGCGCAAUGGGCGAAAGCCUGACGCAGCAACGCCGCGUGAGGGAUGAAGGCCUUCGGGUUGUAAACCUCUUUCGGGUGGGAAGAAAAAAAUGACGGUACCACCAGAAGAAGCCCCGGCUAACUCCGUGCCAGCAGCCGCGGUAAUACGGAGGGGGCAAGCGUUGUUCGGAAUUAUUGGGCGUAAAGCGUAUGUAGGCGGUCUGGCAAGUCAGACGUGUAAGCCCACGGCUCAACCGUGGAAUUGCGUUUGAAACUAUCAGGCUUGAGUUCGGAAGAGGAAAGCGGAAUUCCCAGUGUAGCGGUGACAUGCAUUGAUAUUGGGAAGAACAUCGGUGGCGAAGGCGGCUUUCUGGUCCGAUACUGACGCUGAGAUACGAAAGCCAGGGGAGCAAACGGGAUUAGAUACCCUAGUAGUC
rnacentral:rRNA from 1 species